GCUGGGUAUGAUGGUACAUGCCUGUAAUCCCAGUAACUUGGGAGGCUAAGGCAGGAGGAUCACAAGUUGGGGGUCAGCCUGGGCAACUUAGCAAGACCCUGUCUCAA
rnacentral:sRNA from 1 species